UGGCCCAAUAAAAAUGUUGAGUCAUCACUGAAAAAAAUAUCAAAUCCAACUGAUGAUUGGUAUCAAUUUAAACUGAAAUACAUCAAGCUAACUGAUGAUGACAAAGAAGUAUGUGAAGAGUAUGGAGAUAAUGUAACAGCCGGAGAACUGGAUAACAAUGAAAUGAUGAUUAAGAGUUGUCCCAGCUCAUCUGAAAAAAGACAUGCAAUUAAGCCUAUUCCAUUGCCUAUUCCACGGAAAAUGCCAAUAAGAACUGUUACACCGGAUACAUAUGUUCCAAAAAAAGCAAUGAGCAACAAUUCAAGUCAAAAAAUAUCAUCUGGCACCUUUUGCCUUAGUGACAUGGUUUUAUUUUUUUUUUAAAUCAUUUAAAUUUAUUUUUAGAUCUUCAAAAUCACAUGUUAAUGGUUUUUACUAUAAUAAAUAUUAUGUCAAACUAUUUUAAUGUUAAAUUGGUUUCAAAAGUUUAUACUCAAACCACUUCUAUACAUGGUAAUUAUUCUGAACUUACUGCUUUAUCAACAGCUCACAUACCAAAGCCAUUUCUUUCAACUACUACAU